AGUGCCCGCGAGAGAUUCUCACGGCAUGACUGGGGAUCGUUACGUACGACCGACGGCGAGGAUAUCCACGGCCGAGGAUUUCCACGACGAUUUCCGCGCGAGUACGCGUUACCAAGCCAUCAUCCACGAUACGCACGCAAUAAUGCUGUCCGCCGCACCCGUCGUCCUGGACCCACCAACGAUUGCGCCCACCUGGAUGCGACCGAUCGUCCGACGUGAUUGAACGACCGCCGCACGUCCGCCGCCACGUACACACAGAGACACAUUCGCAGCCAGAGCGGAACACGGCGAUGAUUCUACCGAUCACGCGAUCGUCAGUAAAUACCACAACGUCUCUGUAGAGCAGUAUUUAACCUAUUAAUCACUCGAGCCUACCCUUUCUUCCUGGCUGUUGUAUCUGAGCAAAACCCGGCAGAGUGGCCUCACGGACGAUUUGCAUCAGAGUCUCUCACGAACGGUCAGUCCAACUGCACGCCAGCAAGAGUCGAUCCUUACGAGGCGGGACUAUCCCCGCCAAAUCAUGAACAAGGU